GAUGAACGCUGGCGGCGUGCCUAACACAUGCAAGUCGAACGGGGUGUGCCUGAAACCUAGUGAGGGCGCACCCAGUGGCGGACGGGUGAGUAACGCGUGGGCAACCUGCCGUGCACAGGGGGACAACAGCCGGAAACGGCUGCUAAUACCGCAUACGCCCGGGGGGCCGCAUGGCCCCGCGGGGAAAGCCCGGGGCGACCCGGACGGUGCACGAUGGGCCCGCGUCCGAUUAGCUUGUUGGCGGGGCAGCGGCCCACCAAGGCGACGAUCGGUAGCCGGCCUGAGAGGGCGGACGGCCACACUGGGACUGAGACACGGCCCAG
rnacentral:rRNA from 1 species